CCCCUCUCAGGCUCUCACCUGGAGAGUUUCCAGCACUCUACCAGUCUCGAACAUGGGAGGGAAAGUCAAGCAGAGGCCUACCUAUUCCAUUCCUAGCUUGGGCAGUGGGUAGCGACUGGAACGUAACCUGCUAAAGUC